GAAUAUGAGCCCUUGGGGUGGAGUUUGGAAGCCUGGGAGGAGUCCGGGGCGGACGUUGGGCCUCUCCAGUGGUGAAGACAUUUCACGUGAUGGAGGGCGGGGUUUGGGGCGGGGAAGCAGCUCAGGGCCUGACAUUCUGCUCUUGGGCGUCAUAGACGGAGACAGUUCGUUUUGGGAAGUCUCAGGGGCUGGCUAAGCUGAGUACUCUUGUGUCCAGGAGCAAUCUCCUCCAGAGAGCUGGCUGGAAACUGGGACUUCUGGACUUGAGAUCUCUCUGCCUCCUGCAAGGCAGCUCUGUAGGUGUAGGUCCCAGGAAACCUUUAACUGUGGGGAAGAAGACAUUGAACUUCAACAAAUCAGAAGCAUCUUACCGUAGAAAAGAAAGGAGUUUUAAUUUGACAGAGCUCGGGAGAUUUGAGCAUCUCCCCACCACCUAAGGUGGUCUGGCAGUGAAGAGAGGCUAGUCCCCCGCUCAGGAAAAGAAGGGAAGGACAUCUUUGCAGUUAUAAUCAUCUCCCAACAGCCUGCCGAGGACCAAGGCCUGGCCCAAGCAGCAAACCUGGAGCCAGAGGGAAUGGCCCCUGAGAACAGCAGACCCCCACCCCAGGUGAGUGUAUUCUGCCCACAGAUAUGGGCAACAUCAGCCCAAGAGGCCAUUUCCCCGGAUCUGGAGGAUGGUCAGUGAGGCUGGCCAUCUCUCUUAUCUGUGGAUCCUUUACAAAAAUGGGCAGGAAAGUGAAUGUAGCAAUAACAUCACUGCCCUCCUCUCUGCUAUGUUUUGGACUGAUUCAUUCCCCCUUUGGCGUCUUGAGCACUAACUCCCUUCCCCCAGUUGCUGCUCCCACAUGUUUAUUUACAUUUUCCCUCAAUAUAGGUCUGUGAAAAAGGUGACCACUUCAUUCAUUAGUGUCUAGCCUGUGGGUAUCAUGUCUUUAUUUUGGUGCAGCACCACCUCCCCACUACACUCACACACACACACUAACACACAGACACUUUUUAACCACUUUGUGUUCUGUGUCCUGUGGCCAAGCUCCCUCAUGUAGCCACUGACUUUCCUGGAAAACCUUGAGCCUGUUGUGUAGAGCAAAACCCUGGAAGCUUCCCCAGCUGUUGUCCUUUCCCUGGCUGGUAGCACAGCAAAAAAUGUCUUCCUGCUGCUGCUCAGCUUCUGUUGCCUCAGGCCACACAAAGCUUGCCAAAUUUCUCUGAAUCCGUUCUCUUUACUAAUUUUGUAGUUAUUAUAAUUUUUUUUUUUUUGC